rnacentral:piRNA from 1 species
UGGUAUUGACAGUGAGGGGUCUGGAGC